UACGUAGGGGGCAAGCGUUGUCCGGAUUUAUUGGGCGUAAAGAGCGUGUAGGCGGCUUGGUAGGUCCGCUGUGAAAACUCGAGGCUCAACCUCGAGACGCCGGUGGAAACCAUCAGGCUAGAGUCCGGAAGAGGAGAGUGGAAUUCCUGGUGUAGCGGUGAAAUGCGCAGAUAUCAGGAAGAACACCCGUGGCUAAGGCGGCUCUCUAGUACGGUACUGACGCUGAGACGCGAAAAGCGUGGGGGAGCGAACAGG
rnacentral:rRNA from 1 species